CGGACCGGCGCACGGGUGAGUAACGCGUAUGCAACUUACCUAUCAGAGGGGGAGUAACCCGGCGAAAGUCGGACUAAUACCGCAUGAAGCAGGGGCCCCGCAUGGGGAUAUUUGCUAAAGAUUCAUCGCUGAUAGAUAGGCAUGCGUUCCAUUAGGCAGUUGGCGGGGUAACGGCCCACCAAACCGACGAUGGAUAGGGGUUCUGAGAGGAAGGUCCCCCACAUUGGUACUGAGACACGGACCAAACUCCUACGGGAGGCAGCAUG
rnacentral:rRNA from 1 species